rnacentral:misc_RNA from 1 species
AACUUUUGACAACGGAUCACUUGGCUCUCGCAUCGAUGAAGAACGCAGCGAAAUGCGAUAAGUAAUGUGAAUUGCAGAAUUCAGUGAAUCAUCGAAACUUUGAACGCACCUUGCGCUCCUUGGUAUUCCGAGGAGCAUGCCUGUUUGAGUGUCAUUAAUAUAUAUAUCAACCUUCUUUUGUUGAAUGGUUUGGAUGUGGGGGUUUGCUGGCCUCUUAAAAAGGGUUCAGCUCCCCUGAAAUGCAUUAGCAGAAUGACCUGUUCAUUGGUGUGAUAACUAUCUACGCUAUUGAAUGAGGGGCAGUUCAGCUUUCUAACGGUCCUUGGGACAAUUCAUCAUUAAUGUGACCUCAAAUCAGGUAGGACUACCCGCUGAACUUAAGCAUAUCAAUAAGCGGAGGCU